UGCAAUUGCUGCCUUCGCUCUGCAUCCCCUGUGUCCUGGUUAUUUCAUGAUCCUUACCCAGGGACCCGAAUGCUCUAGACGUUCACAAUUGGCGCCGGAAUAGGGACCCUGCUGGAUUGAUAGGAAGGGUAAGUUAUUUUUCUUUAUAUUACAGAGUGAUAGGACAAUCUUCAUCUUCUCCUUUUUUACGUAUUCUUAGGCAUUCACUUGCUGUCUAUGGUAUUAAUAUUUCCCAUUCUGAUAUAGAGAUGUGUCUUAAGGUGGUCAGGGAAUGGAAUCCCUGGUUCCCAGAGGAAGGAUCUAUGGAUUUAGAUAAUUGGAAAUGGGUCCAUCACAAUGUUAAAAAGGCCAUGAGGCAAGGUGAAAAAAUUCCAAUUCGGUUUUGGUCUAUCUGGUCUAUUUUAUAUACAAUGUUUAAAGCUAUGGAGGAAGAAAGAUUAAUUGGCAACUUACAAAAGGAGUUAGCUCCCUCUAUUCUAGAUCUCCCUCUGGAUAUUAGUGAAAAAGAAGAGGUA
rnacentral:lncRNA from 1 species